GAUGAACGCUGGCGGCGUGCUUAACACAUGCAAGUCGAACGGAAAGGCCCAAGCUUGCUUGGGUACUCGAGUGGCGAACGGGUGAGUAACACGUGGGUGAUCUGCCCUGCACUUCGGGAUAAGCCUGGGAAACUGGGUCUAAUACCGGAUAGGACCACUUCUUGGAUGUUGUCGUGGAAAGUUUUUUCGGUGUGGGAUGAGCUCGCGGCCUAUCAGCUUGUUGGUGGGGUAAUGGCCUACCAAGGCGUCGACGGGUAGCCGGCCUGAGAGGGUGUACGGCCACAUUGGGACUGAGAUACGGCCCAGACUCCUACGGGAGGCAGCAGUGGGGAAUAUUGCACAAUGGGCGCAAGCCUGAUGCAGCGACGCCGCGUGGGGGAUGACGGCCUUCGGGUUGUAAACUCCUUUCGCUAGGGACGAAGCGUUUUGUGACGGUACCUGGAGAAGAAGCACCGGCUAACUACGUG
rnacentral:rRNA from 1 species